rnacentral:rRNA from 1 species
GACGAACGCUGGCGGCGUGCUUAACACAUGCAAGUCGAACGGAAAGGCCCUUUCGGGGGUGCUCGAGUGGCGAACGGGUGAGUAACACGUGGGUGAUCUGCCCUGAACUUUGGGAUAAGCCUGGGAAACUGGGUCUAAUACCGGAUAUGACCAGUGGGUGCAUGCUUGCUGGUGGAAAGCCUUGUGCGGUUUGGGAUGGGCCCGCGGCCUAUCAGCUUGUUGGUGGGGUAAUGGCCUACCAAGGCGACGACGGGUAGCCGACCUGAGAGGGUGAUCGGCCACACUGGGACUGAGACACGGCCCAGACUCCUACGGGAGGCAGCAGUGGGGAAUAUUGCACAAUGGGCGCAAGCCUGAUGCAGCGACGCCGCGUGAGGGAUGACGGCCU